rnacentral:rRNA from 1 species
GACGGAGGGCGCGAGCGUUGUUCGGAAUCACUGGGCGUAAAGCGCGCGCAGGCGGGCUCUAGCAAGUCGGAAGUGAAAUCCCGGGGCUCAACUCCGGGACUGCUUCCGAAACUGCGGGCCUGGAGACCGGUAGAGGUGGGUGGAAUUCCCGGUGUAGCGGUGGAAUGCGUAGAGAUCGGGAAGAACACCUGUGGCGAAGGCGGCCCACUGGGCCGGUUCUGACGCUGAGGCGCGAAAGCGUGGGGAGCAAACAGGAUUAGAUACCCCAGUAGUCC